rnacentral:lncRNA from 1 species
AUUGUCUUUUUAAAACUGUUUUACAAAGGUGAGUUAAAGGUCAACACAGCCAGCCUAAUACCUUUCUCUUAGAAAAAUCCUUGAAACAUUUAAUUGCAUGGGGUGCUUGGUGUGUCUUGCUCUUCAUUGGGGGGGGGGUGUGUGUGCACGUGUGUGUGGUCCUAGGCCAAGUCAAAUACUCUUCUUCUUUCUCCAUCUAAUUCAUUUCACUUGUUCAUAGAGCAGUUUUUGAAUGCCUACUAUGAGCUGGGAACUAUAAUGGGCCUUGCAGGUGAAUAAGAGAGUAUUCCUGCCAUCGAGGAGCUCAAGUAAAGAAGAGAGACAUAAAUGUGAGUAAAUGUGUUAGACUAUGAUGUUAGUGCUAAAAUCAUGGUCCAUUUGGUGUGUUUUGCAAUCACAAAGGAGAGAGCAGUCACCCUGCUGAGAACGGAAGGAGAGAUGGAGAAGGCAAUGAGGUCCUACAAGAACUAUGUACAGUCUCUUGCGGUAGAACAUGGUGGAAGAUAGAAUAAGAAAAAGAAUGUAUGUGUGUGUAUAUAUAUAUAUAUGUACAUAUAUGUGUAAAUAUAUGUAUGACUGGGUCACUAUGCUGUAUAGCAGAAAUCGACAUAACACUGUAAAUAAACUAUACUCAAAUAAAUAAAUGAUCCUAGGCUUAUAAAGCACACAUAUAUAAAUAUGAAAGAAUAGGGAAAUAUAAAACACCCUAAAGAUUUAGCAACUGUGUACUAAGAAAAAUCAAUAACAGUAAGUUCUUUCAAUAAAUAUGUGAGUGAGAAAAGGGGGGAAAAAAGAAAGGGUGGCCCUGGAAUAAUGUAUUGUCUUGUUCCAGGAGAUAAAUUUCAAGAGACAAAUUUCAUCACAUACAUUGGGACACUGUCCUAUGUGCUAUGUGUAUGGUACGGCACAAAACACGGUAAGCCCUUGCCUUCAUGGAGUUUAUAUUCUAGUAGAGUUGGAGCAUAAAAAUAAAGUAGAAAAGUGCAUGUUAGAUGAGCCAGGAUGUAUAAAGCUGUGCAUGGGUAAAAAGCAAGAUGUAGCUGGCUCCCUGGGUCUAUGACAGGGUAUAUGUGGUAAAGUGAGAAAUGCAUGUCCAAGUCCAAAUUCCUAACCCAGCCCCAGGUGCUCAGAUCUGGCUCCAUAAGCAAAGGAGAGCUGAGCCAGGGAGGACUGAAGCAAGAAAGCAGCACUGCCAUUGUUAGUGUGGUUAUGAUUUAGAAAAAAUUCAGUGUGGCAGCAAGCCAGAUAAUGGAUUUGAGGAAGGGAGAAUGAAAGCAGGGAGACCAAUUGGAAGAAUUAUGAAGCUAUAUCAUUUACAUGGAAAUAAGGGCGGUGACAAUCCAAACAGACAAUGGGAUCAUGGAGAAAGAAGGGGCAGUUUUCCUUAAGGAAGAGGAAUUGGUAAUAACUAGUAGACUGAUUGGUGGCAGAAAGAGAGAGAUGGAGGAGGCUGAAAUGACUGGAGUUUUAACUUGGGCAGUGGCAAGAGGUGGUGCUAUUGACCAACAAAGAGAGUGCGUUUAUGAGGUGCGGGUAAGGAAACGAGCCUCCCUAAACAGUUCAGAUGGGGGAGGUCAGUCUCAAGAAAUGCCCAAGCUGAGACGGGUUUGUCCGUUCUUGUCCCUUAGUCAUCCUGAAUUGGAUGGAAUCACUCAAGGGGUAAGGAAGGGUAGAAGAGGAAGCCUGAGGACUCUCGUAGGAGAAAAGUUCAUUCAUGACACACAAGGGAUGUUUUAAGUCACUGGGACUUACUCUUCUUGUGGAACCCUAUUUGCAAAGGGAUCCACUAUGGUUUAUUUCCCAACUCAACUCAAGCUCAGUCAUACUGUCAAACUCAGCUUACCAGGAAUCCUGUGUUGAGUAUCUCAGGACAGCAUAAAUUUCUCUCAAAUUGUACAUGAGAUGGGGCUGGUCCAAAGUGAUAGGUGCUGUCAAUAUAAAAUAUCUGCCAGAUUUUUUUUUUCUUUUUUUAGGGCCACACCCGUGGCAUAUGGAAGCUUCCAGACUAAGGGUUGAGUCGGAGCUGCACCUGCUGGUCUACACCAUAGCCACAGCAGCGAGGGAUCCAAGCCACAUCUGCAACCUACACCACUGCUUGUGGCAAUGCCAGAUCCUUAACCCAUUAAGGAAGGCCAGGGAUUGAACUGGCAUGCUCAAGUAUACCAGCCAGGUUCUUAACUCACUGAGCCACAGCAGAUCCCUGUAUAUAACAGACUUUGAAAACAUAGUAGAAAGAGGAUGCCAAAUAUCUUUUAUAAUUUUUCAUAUUAAUAACAUUUAAAUGACUAAAUUUUAAUUUUACUAUUUUGGAUAUAGUAAGUUAAAUAAAUUGUUAUCAAAAUUGAUUGCCCUCAGCUCCUUUCCUAAAUACUUGUCCAGAAUAUGGAAAAUUGCAUCUGUGGCUCAUUGUGUUUCUGUUGGUUGAUGAUAAAGGGGAUAGAGCUGAUGGGGUAAGAGAGGAGACUGAGAUUAGCUCCAAGGCUAUUUCUAUAAUGAGGGCAGGAGAGAUGGCAGCUGAAAAUGAUGUGGUAGUUGGGAUCAAGAAAAGCAGAUAGAUUUGAAACACACAGAACGGGUGGUGGCUAGAAUUUAUGGGACUGGGGAUUUAUUGGAUAGAGGCCUCUCAGAAGGGAAAAAAGGCAUAGAUAACACACCUUUUCUAGCUGGCCACUAUGGGGCUAAACAGGAAGCACUGCAAGGUUAAACCCAGUGUAGGACAUAGGUUUGAGGAGUAAAAGGCAAUUUGGUAACCAUGAUUUGAGUUUGAGGGCCCUGUGGGCAUCAGAAAGGAAAGAUUCUGGGAGCAACUGGAUAUGUGGGUCUUCUAAUACUGUAUUAUUAAUGGUAAUAAUACCUAUCAUUUAUUUAAAGCCUAUUAUAUGUCAGAUAUUAUCUCAUUUAUUCCUUACAUGUAUUCGUGGAUACAGAUAUGCUAACAUUCCCUUUAUCUCUAUAUCAGUGGUUCACAGUCCAUCAAACCCCCUGCCACCCUCCGUUCCUAAUACAUAUUUUAUCCUGCCCCUUUUAUAUAAUGUAACUGGCCUUUACAUAUCAUUUCCAAAAUUUCAAAAUUAUAGCCUAACUCUAUGUAAGGGAAAAAUGGCAGGAAUGCAAUCUCUAAUAAAAUUUUAUCUUCUUAUUUAAUAGAUGAAUUCUCUAUAACCAUGACAGUUAAGGAUGAUAGUAGAAGAUCAAUUAUGACAUUGAUCACCAGGAAUACAACAGCCACAAGUGCAGGUUCAUGCCCGUAUAUCAUGUUGGGAGCUCACACACCACAAGUGGCAUUGCCUCAAGGACAUACUUUUCUGAAACGGUGGAUAAAUCUUGGAAGGUUCCAAACAAAACAAAUAUUUUUUCUUGAUUUCACAUGGUAGUUGCCUUCCUAGAAAAAUUCAGUCUAUAGUUAGUUCUGCUGUAACAUUUGUUUUAAAGUUUGUUCCAAAGCAAUUGUUAUAUUAAGGAACAAUCUGAACAUAAUGCAUUUGCUUAGGUGGGACUUUUUCAGCAAGAAACACUAGGUGAACCCAGAAAAGUGCCCUUAGCUGAAGGAGCCACGUAGGCCUACAGACAUGCACAUGCUAGCACCCUAAACUCUACCAGCUACCUUGUUUCAACACACCUGCACAGAUAGUGAACCAGGCUGCAAACUUCUGUCCAAUUUCAGAUAACUCUCCCUCCCUCACUUCAUAAUAACCACAGUGGCUCUUCUGUUGCCCACUUCUACUAGGGAACUUUAGAUGUUUUGUCUCAGUAAAGUAUUGCCUUUCUUGUAGUUCUUGUGUAUUUCUUAACCGUUUAACUUGUGUAAAACUGUGCUACAAUUUUUUCUGGAAUCCCAUCUUUUUCAUUAUGUGUCAUGGAUGAAGCUUUUGAGUAUGGUGUCCCCAACCCUGUUUUCCUCACAAGCCCUGUGGUUUGUAUUGCAUGAUUUUGCAUAGCACCAGUGAUUUUUUAGAACCACAUGUCUUCUUCUAGAAGACAUGACUUACUACAAAUCUUGAAUGUCUUUUAAUUCUCAUUCCUCUUUAAAUUAAAACUGGAAUAUUAAUUUAUUAUGGUUGGGUUUCAUUUAAGCUACCUGAUUGAUUUCCUGUAACAGACAUACAGGAAAGAUGGCAUAUUUUCUUAAUAAUAUUAAUAAUAUCACCUAUCAUUUAUUUAAAGCCUAUCAUAUGCCAGGCCUGUCUCUUUUAAUCCUCAUAUGUAUUUGUGGAUAAAAAUAUGCUAAAAUUCCCUUUCCCUUUUAAAAAAGUUGCUCUUUUAGUACACUAAAAGAUGGUAAAUGUAUGAGCAUUUUUAACUUUUAAGUUAAAAUAAAA